UGGUGGAGUGAUUUGUCUGGUUAAUUCCGAUAACGAACGAGACCUUAACCUGCUAAAUAGUCAGGCCGGCUUUUGCUGGUCGCGGACUUCUUAGAGGGACUGUCGGCGUCUAGCCGACGGAAGUUUGAGGCAAUAACA
rnacentral:rRNA from 1 species